GGCCUAACACAUGCAAGUCGAACGGUAACAGGUGUAGCAAUACAUGCUGACGAGUGGCGCACGGGUGCGUAACACGUAUGUAACUUACCUCUAACUGGGGAAUAGCUUCGAGAAAUCGAAAUUAAUGUCCCAUAGUAAUUUGAUCAGGCAUCUGGUUAAAUUUAAAGCUCAGGCGGUUAGAGAUAGACAUGCGUCCUAUUAGCUUGUUGGUGAGGUAACGGCUUACCAAGGCUACGAUAGGUAGGGGGCCUGAGAGGGUUUUCCCCCACACUGGAACUGAGACACGGUCCAGACUCCUACGGGAGGCAGCAGUGAGGAAUAUUGGUCAAUGGUCGCAAGACUGAACCAGCCAUGCCGCGUGCAGGAUGAAGGCCCUAUGGGUUGUAAACUGC
rnacentral:rRNA from 1 species